UCGCAUUAGCAGUUUUUAAAUGAAUAAAAAAUUCAAACGAACAAAACUUCUUUAUAAUACUUUUAGGUAAUAUUAGUAUGGCACGUUAUACAAACACGUACUCGUUUUUUUUUCAAUAAAUGCUACGUUCAAUAAAUAGUAAAAAGCAUUGUUCAUUCGUUAUUAUUCACAAAACAACCUUUUACCUUUCAAAUAAAGUAACAAUUGAAUACAGCGGUAUUUUACUCGUAGCAAUAAUGUAUUUUUCAUUUCAAUUACAGUUUCAACGUGUUUAAAUGUAUAAACAUUUUCAAAGCAAUAAUAUUAUUUCUUUUUAUUUGUUGUAGUUUUAUGCAAUGCUAUAGUUUUAUUUUAUAUUGUUAAGUAACGAUAACAUUUUUUAUUAUGUAUUGUGCAAUAUCGUUUAUUUUGUUUCUUACAUCAUUUUUAUCAUGUAACAAACUUCACCAGAAAAUAGCAAACGAAAAUGCUGUUACAGAGUGCACAUCAGACUGUGACCGACCGCCGAUAAUCCUAUUACCGGUUUUUAUUAAAAUCUAUCGAUACCCUCGAAACGCGACAACAGAACGAAAUGGAUUUGAAAAUAAAUAAACAACCAAACAUAAUGUGACCCAAAAUGAGUAAAACGAUUGUAUAGAAAUAAAAAUAUAAUUAGUUUCAUUUCGA